GAUGCUGGAGUGUCUGAGAACACAGAGCCCUGAAAGGAAGUAGACCACAGGCUCACAAAUUCACCACCAUUUUCUCUGUGGUAGAAGUUUCCAUAAACCUUGCUUGAAUGUCAUUUUUUUUUUUCAAUAAAGUCAGCUGCCUUUUGAAGUAGCCAGCUGCCCCCAUAAAUAGGACCAAGCCACCCUUCCAAGGGUCACCUGAACUCUGUCAUUUGUGGAAAGACAAAGGAGCUGAGGAGACUCUGCUCUGAGGCCUAAAAUCAGUAGGAAAUCUCCUCAUGUGCUUUGUAAUUGAUCCCAUCCC
rnacentral:lncRNA from 1 species